GCCUCUGUAGCUCAGUUGGUUAGAGCGCUGCACCGGAAUAGCAGGGCCGUAGGUUCAAUUCCUACCAGAGGAC
rnacentral:tRNA from 1 species